rnacentral:rRNA from 1 species
AAAGCAGGCUUAUGCCGUUGAAUAUAUUAGCAUGGAAUAAUGAUAUAGGACCUUGGUACUAUUUGUUGGUUUGCGCACUAAGGUAAUGAUUAAGAGGGACAGUUGGGGGUAUUGUAUUCCAUUGUCAGAGGUGAAAUUCUUGGAUUUUGGAAGACAAACUACUGCGAAAGCAUUUACCAAGGAUGUUUUCAUUAAUCAAGAACGAAAGUUAGGGGAUCGAAGAUGAUUAGAUACCAUCGUAGUCUUAACCAUAAACUAUGCCGACAAGGGAUUGGCGGAGUCUCG